UGGGGAAUCUUAGACAAUGGGGGAAACCCUGAUCUAGCCAUGCCGCGUGAGUGACGAAGGCCCUAGGGUCGUAAAGCUCUUUCGCUGGGGAAGAUAAUGACUGUACCCAGUAAAGAAACCCCGGCUAACUCCGUGCCAGCAGCCGCGGUAAUACGGAGGGGGUUAGCGUUGUUCGGAAUUACUGGGCGUAAAGCGCGCGUAGGCGGACUAUUAAGUCAGAGGUGAAAUCCCGGGGCUCAACCCCGGAACUGCCUUUGAUACUGGUAGUCUUGAGUUCGAGAGAGGUGAGUGGAAUUGCGAGUGUAGAGGUGAAAUUCGUAGAUAUUCGCAGGAACACCAGUGGCGAAGGCGGCUCACUGGCUCGAUACUGACGCUGAGGUGCGAAAGUGUGGGGAGCAAACAGG
rnacentral:rRNA from 1 species